UACGGAGGGGGCGAGCGUUAUUCGGAAUUAUUGGGCGUAAAGGGCGCGUAGGCGGCUUGAUGUGUCAAAGGUGAAAUCCCUCGGCUCAACUGAGGAACUGCCUUUGAAACUGUCUGGCUUGAGGCCGGGAGAGGGUAGCGGAAUUCCCAGUGUAGCGGCGAAAUGCGUAGAUACUGGGAGGAACACCGGUGGCGAAGGCGGCUACCUGGACCGGUUCUGACGCUGAUGCGCGAAAGCGUGGGUAGCAAACAGG
rnacentral:rRNA from 1 species